rnacentral:rRNA from 1 species
GACAAAUUCUGACAUUUUGACCUCAAAUCAGGUAGGACUACCCGCUGAACUUAAGCAUAUCAAUAAGCCGGAGGAAA